UGACGCAUCGAAUCAUUUUUCACAAUGAUGUGACAGUAAUAAAAGUUUAUUUUUUUAUACUUACUUUUCUAUACGUUUUUGCUCUUUUCUAUUAUAUGUUCUAUUAUAAAAUAAGUUUUUACAGCGAAGUUGAAAUCCACUUAGACGUGAUGAAUGAGAAAAUUCAGUGGUACCGUAGUCCGCAACUAUAUCCAGGACAUAUGUACCAGGUGGUUAUUACGAAACGCAAUCGUUAACGACGGAAAACGUAUCGAAAUUCGAGAUGAAUUAAAUGGAUACUUUUUAAAAAAUUUCAUGUUAUAAAAUAUUUUCGUUCAUGAUACGAGAAGGAAGGCAAAACGGACCACUCCAAAAAUUCGGAAUUUGUCAGUGGACUCAAUGUAUUAUUGACCAUAAAAGACAUUCGGUGUCUUCUUCGCUAAAUUUAAAUUUUAUGUUAUUUUUCUUCGAUAAUUUUGUGCUUUCGGCUUCUGUAUUUACUAAUAGUAUUUCAAAUCUUUUUUUCUAGUUAGGUAAGAUGUAAAAAGUUUGUUAGUCAUUUUUUUUAAAUAAAAAAAAAAUUUUUUUUAUGACAACAGGAAAUUUGGGUUAACUACUUCAA